rnacentral:rRNA from 1 species
AGACGGAGGGGGCUAGCGUUGUUCGGAAUUACUGGGCGUAAAGCGCGCGUAGGCGGUCCGUUUAGUUAGGCGUGAAAGGCCUGGGCUCAACCCGGGAACUGCGUUUGAUACUGGCGGGCUAGAGUCCGGGAGAGGGUAGUGGAAUUCCCAGUGUAGAGGUGAAAUUCGUAGAUAUUGGGAAGAACACCAGUGGCGAAGGCGGCUACCUGGACCGGUACUGACGCUGAGGUGCGAAAGCGUGGGGAGCAAACAGGAUUAGAAACCCCAGUAGUCC